GGGCGUAAAGGGCACGCAGGCGGUGACUUAAGUGAGGUGUGAAAGCCCCGGGCUUAACCUGGGAAUUGCAUUUCAUACUGGGUCGCUAGAGUACUUUAGGGAGGGGUAGAAUUCCACGUGUAGCGGUGAAAUGCGUAGAGAUGUGGAGGAAUACCGAAGGCGAAGGCAGCCCCUUGGGAAUGUACUGACGCUCAUGUGCGAAAGCGUGGGGAGCAAACAGGAUUAGAUACCCUGGUAGUCCACGCUGUAAACGAUGUCGAUUUGGGGGUUGAACUUUGAGUUUGGCGCCCGUAGCUAACGUGAUAAAUCGACCGCCUGGGGAGUACGGCCGCAAGGUUAAAACUCAAAUGAAUUGACGGGGGCCCGCACAAGCGGUGGAGCAUGUGGUUUAAUUCGAUGCAACGCGAAGAACCUUACCUACUCUUGACAUCCAGAGAACAUUC
rnacentral:rRNA from 1 species